rnacentral:rRNA from 1 species
UACGUAGGAUGCAAGCGUUGUCCGGAAUUAUUGGGCGUAAAGAGCGCGCAGGCGGUUCGACAAGUCAGAUGUAAAAUAUCCCGGCUUAACCGGGAGGGGCCAUUUGAAACUGUCGGACUAGAGUGGAGCAGAGGAUAGUGGAAUUCCCGGUGUAGUGGUGAAAUGCGUAGAUAUCGGGAGGAACACCAGUGGCGAAGGCGACUUCCUGGCCUGUUCUUGACGCUGAGGCGCGAAAGCUAGGGUAGCAAACGGG